GGAGUCUAACAUGUGCGCGAGUCAUUGGGUUGAAAACCUAAAGGCGGAAUGAAAGUAAAGAGAGCUUUGCUUUUCUGAGGGAGGAUGGUCACGCCUGCCACUUGUGGCGGUGGCCCGCACUCCCGGGGCGUCUCUUUCUCAUCGCGAGUGGAGGCGCACCAAGAGCGUAGACGUUAGGACCCGAAAGAUGGUGAACUAUGCCUGGUCAGGACGAAGCCAGGGGAAACCCUGGUGGAGGUCCGUAGCGAUUCUGACGUGCAAAUCGAUCGUCGGAGCUGGGUAUAGGGGCGAAAGACUAAUCGAACCAUCUAGUAGCUGGUUCCCUCCGAAGUUUCCCUCAGGAUAGCUGGUGCCCAGGUGAGACGAGUCUCAUCCGGUAAAGCGAAUGAUUAGAGGCCUUGGGGCCGAAACGACCUCAACCUAUUCUCAAACUUUAAAUAGAUGAGAACUCCGGCUUGCUUAAAAGUGAAGCCGGAGAUUCGGAUCAGGGUGCCCAGUGGGCCAAUUUUG
rnacentral:rRNA from 1 species